rnacentral:rRNA from 1 species
UACGUAGGGGGCUAGCGUUGUCCGGAAUCAUUGGGCGUAAAGAGCGUGUAGGCGGCCCGGUAAGUCCGCUGUAAAAGUCAAAGGCUCAACCUUUGAAUGUCAGUGGAUACUGCCGGGCUAGAGUCCGGAAGAGGCGAGUGGAACUCCUGGUGUAGCGGUGGAAUGCGCAGAUAUCAGGAAGAACACCAACGGCGAGGGCAGCUCGCUAGGACGGUACUGACGCUGAGACGCGAAAGCGUGGGGAGCGAACAGG